rnacentral:rRNA from 1 species
UAGCGUAGGGGGCGAGCAUUGUCCGGGAUUCAUUAGGGCGUAAAGAGCUCGUAGGCGGCUUGCUGAAGUACCGGGUGUGAAACCCCCGAGGCUCAACUCAGGGUCGCCAUCUGAUACUGGUAUGGGCUGGAGUCCGGUAGGGGACCACGGAAAUUCCUGGUGUAGCGGUGAAAUGCGGCAGACUAUCGAGGAGGAACACCGAGUGGCGAAGGCAGUGGUCUGGGCCGGUACUGACGCUGGAGGAGCGAAAUGCGUC